rnacentral:misc_RNA from 1 species
ACCAGCGAUUGACGAUCAACAGCAGAGAUUGACUGGAAAAUGAUGCCAUUUGGUGCAAGUAGACUGAAAACUAUAGAAGCGAGAUCAGAGUCGUUUGAUUGGAGGAUGAUAUCGAUCCAACCACCGUUGGAUGACGGGAGGUAGGAUCCAUUAGGGGGCGAUGCAGCGUCCCCGAAGCCGUAGAGCUUGCAGAUUAGGGUAGGGAAGGUGAGGGAGAAGAAGUGGCGAGACUGAUCGGGUGUGUGAGAGCGUAAGAAGGAGUCGAUGGAGGAGCAGACGGAGAAGAUGUGGGCGGGGGUGGAGGAAGCAAGGAUAGCAGAGGCGAGUUCUUGUGAUUUGGAGAGGGAAUCGACCGUGUAGGAGUGAGGGUGCAUGGCAAGUAAGUGGUGUGGGGGGGGAACAGGGAUUUUGGGGUUCUAGGGUUUUGUUUGGUGCAGAGCAAAGGAAGGAGAAGAAAAAUGAAGAACGGAGGGGUUUAGUUUUAAAAGUUUUA